rnacentral:tRNA from 1 species
GCCGGGGUGGCGAAAUGGCAGACGCACCAGCUUUAGGAGCUGGCGGUGGCAACACCAUGGAGGUUCAAGUCCUCUCCCCGGCACCA